UGUUUAUUUUUUUCAUAAUUGUCGAUUCAUUUCAUGUGUUUAAAGGAAGUUUACGUUAAUUUCCUGCUCAAUUAACUCCAGUUUAGGGACCUUUUGUAAUCGGAAACAAAACACACACACAUAUAAAAAGAACAAGAAGGGAUGAAGAAAAGGGAAAUGUGGGCUUUGAAUUAUUGAAUCGUUCCAUUAUGAAUAUUCCGGAGAGACGAUUCAAAGUAAUACUUCAAUUAUUCACGAGGCACCGCGUGUAACGGAAAAUCUGCGCGUCUCGCGACUUCUCCCAUGCUCCCCAAACAUUAUCAUCAUCCUCCUCCACCUCAGUUCGCUUCGCGAUAGGAAGCCAGGUGGCAGCUGUCCAUCCAAACAGAACCACCGGAUCGCACUUUCAUCAACAACAAACACAAAGUGAUGGUCGUCGUCUCUUCUACACCUGCAGUGACAGAACGACACUUGGUGAACCAACCGUGAAUACAUGCCACACUUGUGCUGAAGAUUGGUCCAUGGCUGGACCGUCCACAUCGGCAGGCACACAUGCUGCUGCUCGCCUUUUGUACACGCCAAUCGCCCGCCCCCGGGAACCCCUCCCGAAGCCACCACCACGAACAGCAACCGCCCCCAACGAUUCUAGAUAAUCCAACCGCCCAUCAGAAAACCUCCCCUAGACUAAUUCAAUAUUAGAAAAA